UACGUAGGGGGGCAAGCGUUGUCCGGAAUUAUUGGGCGUAAAGCGCGUGUAGGCGGCUCGGUAAGUCUGCUGUGAAAGUCCAGGGCUCAACCCUGGAAUGCCGGUGGAUACUGUCGAGCUCGAGUCCGGAAGAGGCGAGUGGAAUUCCUGGUGUAGCGGUGAAAUGCGCAGAUAUCAGGAGGAACACCAAUGGCGAAGGCAGCUCGCUGGGACGGUACUGACGCGUGAGACGCGAAAGCGUGGGGAGCAAACAGG
rnacentral:rRNA from 1 species